UCCGUCGCCAGUCUGACGGGAGAAGCAGAGGAAGGUGGCCCAAACGAAGGCACAGCAGCCGGUGAAGGUGGUCCGCAUGUACAGAGGCACCAGAGCAAAGUUCAGAAGCUGAAACACACAGUUUCUGAGGUUCAACACUUUUUACAACUGCUUUGGUAUGGUGGCUGCAAGCUGCAAGACGGUGACUGAGUAGACGGCGCUGGGCCCGGUUUGCGGGGGCAGCAGUCUUUGCAAAGACGCCCAGACUUCCCUCUCCCCGGCCACUUCCUCCAGCUCCUCUGGGGGACCCUGAGGCGUUCCAAGAGGCCCCUGGAUCAUCCCCGGGGCCUCUGCCCAGUGGAACAUCUCCCCAGGGAUGUGUCCAGAUGCUUGAGCCACCUCAACUGGCUCCUGGAUGUGGAGGAGAAGUGGCUCUCUCAGAGUGGCUGAGCUCAUCACCCAGCCACUUCCGCAUCUUAUAUCCAUUUAAAUGAGACUGAUGAUAAAGUAAUGUACUUUCAAAAUAAAUCUAGACUGUAAUCGACAACACCAUGCCUUUUUUAAAGACUGCGUUACCCAUGAAUAGUCUCUAAGACAAACACAGAACUGUGCAAAAACAAAUUAAAUGUAUGCUACUCUCUUCAGAAACAAAUUUAUCGAAGUGUCCUUGGGCAUACACUGAACCCCACAUUGAUCCUGGUGGUUAUAGGUUGGUGCAAGUGUGUCAGUGUGUGAAUGAGACUGACUGUAAAGCGUUUUAGGCCUUCUAAAAACGCAGUAAAGCGCUGAACAAGCAUAUUUCAUUUUUUUAAAACAGAAAAUGCUGCUGCUGUUCACACCCGGUUCUUCAGUCCAAGACUGCUCGUCAUGAAUAUCUUUGCUUGAAAAAAGGUUU